rnacentral:lncRNA from 1 species
UAGCAGAUUUUUUGAUAGUCGUAAUUAAAUAUUUUGGAUAAAUUUAAUUUUUGAAUGAAACACUUCCUUCUCGUUCAUUGCAUUAUCUGUUGCACUUCAAAUGCACAUAUUUAUGUUUAUCUGUUGUAGGGUUGCCAUACAACAAGUAUUAUUCGAAAUUGUAGGUAUUUUGGCUGUCAUUCCAGGAAAACUUUAUAUUGUUUUGAUAUAGUAUAGGUAUUGAUUUUUGGAAAAUAUAAUAUUUUAGAAACAUGAUAACAAAUGUUAUCAUAGGUUUUUUAAGGCUGUUCUGGAAUGACAUUUGUUGGGUUUUGUUUACUUCAAGGUCUGAUACAGAAACUGGAGAAAUUUUCAUUUAAUUAAUUAGAGUAUUUUAUUGUUUAUUCGUUUGCCACCCGGCUUUUGUUUUGGGUCCUUUAAAUUCGAGAUCAUUCAGUGCGGCGUUCUUUCUGUGACGAGAUCCUCUUGCAUAGUGAUCGGACGGCCGUAUAAGGGCCUGGAGCCCGGCAUGCCACGUGCUGCCGUGGCGUUCCAUAUUUUGUGUGGUGCGUUCUGUCAGUCUGACUGGCAGAAACAUGCUAAGGGUGGGAGUGCUCCGUGGAGAUCCUCGGUCUGCAGUCUGCAGGUCUCCGGAGUCGGGCAGAAGUAAAA